rnacentral:rRNA from 1 species
ACUCCUACGGGAGGCAGCAGUGGGGAGUAUUGCACAAUGGGGGAAACCCUGAUGCAGCCAUGCCGCGUGUGUGAAGAAGGCCUUCGGGUUGUAAAGCACUUUCAGUAGGGAGGAAGGUAGUGUAGUUAACACCUGCAUUAUUUGACGUUACCUACAGAAGAAGCACCGGCUAACUCCGUGCCAGCAGCCGCGGUAAUACGGAGGGUGCGAGCGUUAAUCGGAAUUACUGGGCGUAAAGCGCAUGCAGGCGGCCUGUUAAGUCAGAUGUGAAAGCCCGGGGCUUAACCUCGGAAUUGCAUUUGAAACUGGCAGGCUAGAGUCUUGUAGAGGGGGGUAGAAUUUCAGGUGUAGCGGUGAAAUGCGUAGAGAUCUGAAGGAAUACCAGUGGCGAAGGCGGCCCCCUGGACAAAGACUGACGCUCAGAUGCGAAAAGCGUGGGGGAGCAAACAGGAUUAGAUACCCUGGUAGGAUAGCG